rnacentral:rRNA from 1 species
UACAGAGGUCUCAAGCGUUGUUCGGAUCCAUUGGGCGUAAAGGGUGCGUAGGUGGCGUCGUAAGUCGGGUGUGAAAUUUCGGAGCUUAACUCCGAAACUGCAUUCGAUACUGCGGUGCUUGAGGACUGGAGAGGAGACUGGAAUUUACGGUGUAGCAGUGAAAUGCGUAGAGAUCGUAAGGAAGACCAGUGGCGAAGGCGGGUCUCUGGACAGUUCCUGACACUGAGGCACGAAGGCCAGGGGAGCAAACGGG